GAUCAUGGCUCAGGAUGAACGCUAGCUACAGGCUUAACACAUGCAAGUCGAGGGGCAGCGGGAUUGAAGCUUGCUUCAAUUGCCGGCGACCGGCGCACGGGUGAGUAACGCGUAUCCAACCUUCCGUACACUCAGGGAUAGGCCUUUAGAAAGAAAGAUUAAUACCUGAUGGUAUGAUGAGAUUUGCAUGAUAGCAUCAUUAAAGAUUUAUCGGUGUACGAUGGGGA
rnacentral:rRNA from 1 species